AUUGAACGCUAGCGGGAUGCUUUACACAUGCAAGUCGAACGGCAGCGCGGACUUCGGUCUGGCGGCGAGUGGCGAACGGGUGAGUAAUGUAUCGGAACGUGCCCAGUAGCGGGGGAUAACUACGCGAAAGAGUAGCUAAUACCGCAUACGCCCUACGGGGGAAACCAGGGGGGCGUAAGACCUUGCACUAUUGGAGCGGCCGAUAUCGGACUAGCUAGUUGGUGGGGUAACGACUGACGUAGGCGACGAUCCGUAGCUGGUGUGAGAGGAGGAGCGGCCACACUGGGACUGGGACGCGGACCAGGCUCCUACGGGAGGCAGCAGUGGGGAAUUUUGGACAAUGGGGGCAAACCUGACCCAGCCAUCCCGCGUGUGCGAUGAAGGCCUUCGGGUUGUAAAGCACUUUUGGCAGGAAAGAAACGCCGCGGGCUAAUACCCCGUGGAACUGACGGUACCUGCAGAAUAAGCACCGGCUAACUACGUG
rnacentral:rRNA from 1 species